UACGUAGGGUGCAAGCGUUGUCCGGAAUUAUUGGGCGUAAAGAGCUCGUAGGCGGUUUGUCGCGUCUACUGUGAAAACUCGGGGCUCAACCCCGAGCCUGCUUCCGAUACGGGCAGACUAGAGGUAUGCAGGGGAGAAUGGAAUUCCUGGUGUAGCGGUGAAAUGCGCAGAUAUCAGGAGGAACACCGGUGGCGAAGGCGGUUCUCUGGGCAUUACCUGACGCUGAGGAGCGAAAGUGUGGGGAGCGAACAGG
rnacentral:rRNA from 1 species